UUCACAGGUACUUGAGUGGAUUUCUCCCAGGGGUGUGAAAAAGUAUAAUAGUCCAAUAUUCAGUCUUCAAUAUGACAUCCAUCCACCCCCACAAGGUCUCAGCCCUGAGGCCUCGAAGGAGGGGGAAAGUGGAAAUGGCCUGAGGGGUGUCAAGAGGGACUGACGGAAACAUGGAUUUUCCUUUAACAGAGUGUCCUUCAAUUGUGGCAAAAAAGGGGGUUCGUUUUUAUCCCAUAUAACAUCCUCUGCAACCUCCAAGGUAAUCAGUCGACCUCUUUGCAAAUUGACAACAGGUGUGCACCAGAAUUGCACGGAUUCAAUGAAGGGAUUCCACGAUGCACUCUGUAUAAAUGAAUUUCCAACCGGAAGUCCCGCCCCUUUCAUCCCCUCUCCGGCAGACUGACGCUCUGUCCGCUGACACGGCAUCAUG